CCAAUAGCGUAUAUUAAAGUUGUUGCAGUUAAAAAGCUCGUAGUUGAAUUUCGAGACCGGCUUACUGGUCGUGCUAUUGUACGUACUGGUAUAAUCGGUUUCUCCUUUCUGACGAACUAUAAUGCCAUUAAUUUGGUGUUAUAGGGAAUCAGGAAUGUUACUUUGAAAAAAUUAGAGUGUUUAAAGCAGGCUCACGCUUGAAUACAUUAGCAUGGAAUAACGGAAUAGUACGUUUGAUUCUAUUUUGUUGGUUUCUAGGAUCGACGUAAUGAUUAAUAGGGAUAGUUGGGGGCAUUAGUAUUCAAUUGUCAGAGGUGAAAUUCUUGGAUUUAUUGAAGACUAACUACUGCGAAAGCAUUUGCCAAGGAUGUUUUCAUUAAUCAAGAACGAAAGUUAGGGGAUCGAAGACGAUCAGAUACCGUCGUAGUCUUAACCAUAAACUAUGCCGACUAGGGAUCGGAUGAUGUUAAUUUUUUAAUGACUCAUUCGGCGCCUUACG
rnacentral:rRNA from 1 species